rnacentral:rRNA from 1 species
UGAGUACGAGAUGCUACGGCAUCGAAGCAGUCUAUGUCAUACUUCCAAGAAAAGCUUGCACUGUCAUAAACAAAGAAUGCCUGUACCAUAACCGACACAGGUGGGUAGGUAGAGUAUACUAAGGGGCGCGAGAUAACUCUCUCUAAGGAACUCGGCAAAAUGACUCCGUAACUUCGGGAGAAGGAGUGCCUUAUUUCUAAGGUUGCAAUAACAAGAUCCAAGCAACUGUUUACCAAAAACACAGGUCUCCGCUAAGUCGUAAGACGAUGUAUGGGGGCUGACGCCUGCCCAGUGCCAGAAGGUUAAAGAAGUUGGUUAGCAUUAGCGAAGCUGAUAACUGAAGCCCUGGUGAACGGCGGCCGUAACAAUAACGGUCCUAAGGUAGCGAAAUUCCUUGUCGGGUAAGUUCCGACCCGCACGAAAGGCGUAAUGAUUUGGAUACUGUCUCGGAGAGGGGCUCGGUGAAAUAGACUUGUCUGUGAAGAUGCGGACUACCCGCACCUGGACAGAAAGACCCUAUGAAGCUUUACUGUAACUUGAGAUUGAAAUUGGACUUUAUUUGCGCAGUAUAGGUGGGAGGCGUUGAGAAUAAUCUUGCGGGAUUGUUGGAGCCAUCAGUGAGAUACCACUCUUGUAAUGUUAGAUUUCUAACUUUGUAUCAUUAUCUGGUCAAAGAACAGUUUCAGGCGGGCAGUUUGACUGGGGCGGUCGCCUCCCAAAGGAUAACGGAGGCGCACAAAGGUUUCCUCUGAACGGGUAGAAAUCGUAUCUAGAGUGUAAAGGCAUAAGGAAGCUUGACUGUGAGACCUACAAGUCGAGCAGGGACGAAAGUCGGUCUUAGUGAUCUGACGGUGCUGAGUGGAAAGGCCGUCACUCAACGGAUAAAAGUUACUCUAGGAUAACAGGCUGAUCUCCCCCAAGAGUUCACAUCGACGGGGAGGUUUGGCACCUCGAUGUCGGCUCAUCGCAUCCUGGGGCGGUAGUCCGUCCCAAGGGUUGGGCUGUUCGCCCAUGAAAGCGGUACGCGAGCUGGGUUCAGAACGUCGUGAGACAGUUCGGUCCAUAUCCGGUGUAGGCGUUAGAAUUUUGAGAGGAGCCUUCUCUAGUACGAGAGGACCGAGAAGGACAUACCUCUGGUGUACCAGUUAUCGUGCCAACGGUAAACGCUGGGUAGCUAUGUAUGGAGUGGAUAACCGCUGAAAGCAUCUAAGUGGGAAGCCCACCUCAAGAUAAG